rnacentral:rRNA from 1 species
CACGCUACCUCAGCUCAGG